UCUUAUUGAUUAAGUAUACGAAAAUCUUAGAAGAAAUCCCGUCCAAAUAACCACCUUACUGAAUACUUGAAUUAAACUUUGAAGACAAACAUAUCACUCGGUACACAUGCCCAAUUGCAAUCUGCCUUGCAUAGGCAUCCAUAAAUCACAAUAAAAUACGAUCAAGUCUAGUUUAUAAUAAAACGGAGAAAAUAGAGGAUUCGAACAAUCAAACUUAACGAAAUUACUUAUUAAAAACAUUUCCUGGUUCACCUCAGAACCCAACCCCCAAUUCUAGAGCCUCAGAGUCAGAUCAAUCCCGUCGUCAGUCUCUUCCUGAUCCCCUUCACGCACGCCUUGCUGGUGUCCACGGUGACCACCAUCUCCAGUCCUGCGGUAGCCGCCGGCCACACGCGCCGACACAGCAGAUGACGGUUGAGUUGGAGCAAGCCCGGUACCAAUCUGCCAUUGCCACUGCAACGAAGGAGGCACGAAGAAGGGGGCCGAGGGGUAGUAGUGGGCGGCAAACAGGUUCUCAUGGAGGUAAGCUCUGCCCAAGGCGGUGAUGUCCGACGACGAUGCCCAGAUGGGCACUGACGACGACGCGGGAGGACGGUCUAUGCGUGCCUUCUUGUUGACGGGGCCGGGUGGCGCCCACAGGUGCCUGUGCACCGUCUGGUGCCCGCACCGCCCCUGCACGGUCGUGAACAUGCGGGGGCAGUACUCGCACUUGAACCUGGCCUUCUGCACCUUGUUGCUGGAAGACGAUGAUGCCGUGAGAGACGACGUCUGGCUCGUGUACCCUGCCUUGUCAUCCUCGGCACGGGUGGCCGGCGGCAGAGACUUGUCGUUGUCGGCGGGGAAGGUGGACACGGAGGAACCAGUGGACUCCAUUUCUGCAAAUGGUCUAGAUGAGACGUACUACUACUUAUCUUGUUGUGUGCUUCGGCUGCUUGCUUGCAGUACUCGACGGUGGGGGUUUUAUAGUUACGGAGCGGGAUGUGGGAUUGGCUAAGAUUGGAAGAAAACAUGCUGGUGGCGUUAUUUCUAGCAGUGCAAUCAUUCUCAUAAUUCUCUACAAUUACUCGUAUAUUUAUGGCCUUCCAAUUAAAUGUAUUUUCUUUUUCUUUUUUAAUUUUUUUUGGAUUGGUUGAAAUGUAUUUCCCCGUCAUGACGAUAGGAAUUCAAUUUGCAUCCCUUUUGGUUUUGGGCCACUAGAGGCCCAGUUUUGUUUCGUCCAAUUUCCCGCUCCGGCCGACGUGCUAGAACGGUCCAUUAUUCAGUAGCCCAUUGUAACCAAAGCUCAUUUUUAUGUGGGCCAAGUAAGAGCAAUUUCAAUGGGGUGACCCAAACGGACGGCGAUUUCGUCCGCGUUUUAUCCGUUUGAGUCGGACGCCGCCGGCGUUCGCCUGUUUUAGAUAUGGGUCGGCUGGGUGCCCAACGCGCCGACCCAUAUGUGCUGGCGUGGCCGUCUGGCCUCCCUAUUUUUCGCAUGAUUGCAUAGUUUGAAUCAAAUAAUAUAGUUUCAGACCCAAUAAAAUAGUGUAGUUUAUUACAAGCCGCCUGGCCUCCCUAUUCAACGCCCGAAGGUGGCCCGGAAUGGAACCAUGAAACAAUGGCCCUGGCUGUUAAGGUGGUGAUGGACCAACAUGGCAGCCAAUAUCUCCUCCUCAUCAUCGGAGGACGAAUCAUCGGAGUCGCAAAGGAAAUUGUGAAAAAAGAACUAGUCGGCGGAGUCCAUUUUGUACCUUAGCAAACUGUCGAACAACUUGUGGGAGUUGGCGAAGGAGACGGCCGACGAAGGGAGUCGUGGCGCGCACGGACCAGCUAGCUGUCCUGUCGACGUCCGACGAGCGUGCCAGCGUCCGACGAGCGUGCCGGUGAGGAUCUGGCCGGCGGCGAGGCGGCUUCUUGGUCGGGACGGCUGUGCGGUGGUGGUGCGCGGGGGGUGGGAAGCAGUCGGCUCCCCGGCAGCAAGACGGCGGUGGCGGGCGACGUGGGAGUGGGCGGCGUAGCUAGGCGGAUGUGGAGGCGCCGACAGUUGGCAGAGUCGCCGACAAAAAUGGGCGGCGGCGUCGGCGACGAAAGAGGAUCAUGAAGGUUGUUGUUGGAUGGGGGGAGGCCAAUGUGCCACCGAUCAGCGGGCCGGGGAGGAGAGGGCGAGCAUGUGCGCGUCCGUCGCAUGUCCGCGCCGACGCAAAUCCGACUCAAAAAUGGGCCGGGAAUGGGUCGCCCGUGGACGAAUAGAGCAUGCGCGUCUAUUUGGGUUGGCAUGUUGGGACGCCUUUUGUGUCCAUGCCGACCCAAACGAACGGCGGCGGACGAAAUGGGUCGCCCCGUUGGAGUAGCUCUAAAUCCACAACCCAUAUAUAUCAAGCACAUACAAUAAUUUUGGAGAAAUGGUCUAGAAAGUUACUUAAAUUAUUACAUAAUCUCAUAAAUAUAUAAUUAAGUUACAAAAUGUGUUUACACACAAAAUUAUGACAUAAUCUCAUAAAUAUAUAAUUAAGUUACAAAAUGUGUUUACACACAAAAUUAUGUGUUCACCAACAGAAUCACCAUUUCGACCGAGAUUUGAGAAGGGGGUUUACCCUAGGCAUUUGCAUAGCAGAAGCCAGAGAAUAUGACCAAUCAACUCUUGCUUCUUUCUGACUUCCUCCAUCUCUUAUUUUGUUUUGAUGAUCACCUGCAUGUUUUCCUCUUCGUUGCUUCCUCGAGAUGUUGACUGCAUCUCAUAACCCAGGUUCACCUGUCUUUUAGCCAGUAGUUGAGCCUCAAGAACUUUAGCAGUUGGUGACUUUGACGAUUGCAUCUAAUCUACCAUUAUGCGGGCAUGUUCAUGUGGCAUUACUCUAGGAGGUUACCUUGGAAAUUACCUCAAAACUUGAUCUUGGGAUUAUCCCUUCUGCCAUCAUAAUCUCAAUUGUAGUCUUGAACAUUACUACAUAUUGACAUACUACUAACCCCUCAUCACUGGUCGGCCUAUGGCCACGUGUCACUGAUGAGGUUCAUCACCAACAGGCUAAUGUUUGGUCGAUCAGUGCGGGUCAUCCAUGAUUGUUAACACAAACAGGUUAAAAUUUGGUCGAUCAGUGAUGUUGUCCUCCUCAGCCGUUGGGAGGUUGAAAGUUUAUCACAGACUGAUGUCAAAAUUUGCUCGUCACUGCUAUUACUUAGAUAUCAAUAGAUUCAGAAAAGUGUAACUUAUUUCCCUGAGCAGUGCAACUUGCACUUUCCUAGAAAAGUGCAAGUGGAUGAAAAAGUGCAAGUUGCAUUUUUGUCAGUAUACUAAAUUUAUAGUUUUCUGAAUUAAUCGGGACUUCAGAUAAAAUUCUCCAUACAGUUGAUCCCAUAAGUGUUGCCCUGAUUAUAUAAGUUACGCUUAAUGAUGUGAUAAAUUAAAUUUGAAUCCAUGAAAAUUUUCUUUCUCAUUCAUAAUAAUAUUUGUUCUCCACGAGCUAUUUUUUUAUUCCAAAAAUUAUUUGAACUAUAUUGUAUAGACUAAUGAAAUUGUGAUUCUAUGUUUUAGAGUCUACUUCCACCUAGACAAUACUUCCUUUUCUUUUUUGAUAUGAAAGAUCCGGAGAAGCUGAUGUAAUUCUAAACAUCAAGCUAAUUAAGGAUGAGAGUGGGAUUACUUUAACGCAAUCUCACUAUGUUGAGAAGGUCUGGAGUUGGUUUGAUAGAUAGCAAGACUUCUCCAACACCUUAUGAUCCUAGUGUGACACUUCAAAAGAACAUGAAAGAAACAAGUGAUCAACUAAGAUACUCUCAAAUUAUCGAUUCACUCAGGUUUUUAGCUAGCGCAACAAGGCCAAAUAUUGUGAUCUCUCGCGACACAAAUUAGCAUUCACCUUAAGCUCCUGAAAUAUAAUUUCCCAAAAAAGCAAUCGAAUUGUUUGUCUGUUGUCUUGAUGAUGAUUUGCCGAGUGGUUUUAUAGUGGUGAGGAGACUUAUCUUCUUAAUUAAUCGAUGAGGAAAAACUUUUGCCUCUGUUUGGGAUAUUACUGUAAUUGCUAAUGGAGCUCGAGCUCCAUGGAGCCCUUAAUUUGAAAUUUUCAAAACUCAAAUUUUUAGAUUUAAAAAAAUCUUAAAAUUUCACUCUAAAAAUAUCCAAAAAAAUUAUGUCAGCUACACAAAAAUGACAAAAUCAAGUAUUUCUAACACAUGUACCACUAGAAAAGUAUAUGAUUUUGUAUUUUGUAUAGCUCACACAGCUAUUCCAUGAUGAAAUUUCAUACAGUCUAGUAUUUACCUAUAAGUACUUGUGUAUUUGUUUUCAUGUUUUCUUUGAAACUUAGGAAGUUGAUAUUGGAAAAUUUCAGGCUCCAUGGAGCCCGAGCAAAAAAAUCCACUCUCCUCAUACAUUACAUAUAUAUAUAAAGCGGGGAAUAGUUAUAUCGAAUCUACAUCCCUCUAUUUUUUGCGGGUAGAUCUGAUCACCAUCCUGAUGUGCUUUGGAAAUCAUGAAAUUUUGUGAAGGCGAUGUCACGAAGCAAAAUACAACAAAGGUCCUGGAAAAACGUUUUAUAUAAAAUGAUAAGAUCACACGUUUAUAACUACUUCGUUGUAAAACUCCCCUAUUGGAUAAGUACACAACAAAAAUUUAGAAGAAAUCCCAUCCAGAUAACCACCUUUUUGAAUACAGUACUUGUAUUACACUUUGAUUGAAGACAGACAAGUCACACGGCAGAUUGACCAAUUUCAAUUUGUCUUAAAUAUGCACCCAUAAAUCACAGGGAAAUACGAUCAAGUCUAGCUUUUAUAAUAAAACGAAGAAAAAAUAGAGUAUUCGAACAAUCGAACUUAAGGGAACAUUUAAAAACAUUUCCUGAUUCACUUCAGAACCCAACCCCUAAUUCUAGAGCCUCAGGGUCAGAUCAAUCCCGUCGGCAGUCUCUUCCUGAUCCACUUCACACACGCCUUGCUGCUGUCCACGGUGACCACCAUCUCCAGUCCUGCGGUAGCCGACGACCACACGCGCCGACACAGCAGAUGACGGUUGAGUUGGAGCAAGGCCGAUACCAGUCUGCCAUUGCCACUGCAAUGAAGGAGGCACGAAGGGGGCCGUGGGGUAGUAGUGGGCGGCAAGCAGGUUCUCAUGGAGGUAAGCUCUGCCCAAGGCGGUGAUGUCCGACGACG
rnacentral:lncRNA from 1 species